rnacentral:misc_RNA from 1 species
GUAUUAAGUUUUGCCCACAAAGAGGCAUUUCACAUUCUACAAGACAUUUAAAAGAGUUUGUGAUGAAAGGCGAAGCGCGGCCCCGGCCCCGUCAAAGAGAUGACGAGGCGGCUCCCGCGACGGAGGACCACGACUUCGAAAGUGCACAGGGGUUGAGUGGAUGAGCGGGGCCGAGCACAUGCCCCGAGAGGCCAGCAUCGAAGCCCACUUCAAAACUCGAUAAUGAUCCUUCCGCAGGUUCACCUACGGAAA